UACGAAGGGGGCGAGCGUUGUUCGGAUUUACUGGGCGUAAAGGGCGCGUAGGCGGCCCUCCUUGUCGGGUGUGAAAGCCCCGGGCUCAACCUGGGAAUUGCGCGCGAAACGGGGGGGCUUGAGUUCGGGAGAGGAGAGUGGAAUUCCCAGUGUAGAGGUGAAAUGCGUAGAUAUUGGGAAGAACACCGGUGGCGAAGGCGGCGCUCUGGACCGAGACUGACGCUGAGGCGCGAAAGCGUGGGGAGCAAACAGG
rnacentral:rRNA from 1 species